UCCCUCCCUCUUGCACCGGGUUCUGUGUCUAGUGUCAGUAGCUCCCAGCCCAAGGCGCAUGCUCCGAAAUCCCAGUCUCAGCCCCUGCUGCUGUUGCUGCUGUUUGGUUGCUUUUGCUUUGGCUGUCGGGGCUCAGUUUAACAAGAGAGAGAGGGAAAAAGAGAGAAAGAGAGAAGAGAGAGAGAAAGAGAGAGAGAGAGAGAGAAAGAAAGAUAGCGAGAGAGAGAGGGAGAGAGACACGGAAAGGGGAGGUGGGGGGGGGAAGACAGAGAAUGUCCGCCAUCUACCCUCUUCUCCUGGGCGCACUCUCAUUCAUAUCAGCUUCUUCAUGAAUUACAGCUGAGAAGGGGAGGGUGGGGGCGGGGGGAGUCGGGGUACCAAAAAACACCCCAGCAAACCUCCGGGCCCCCAGGCAUGGCCAGCUCGGUAAGUACAUGCAAAAAAAAAUCUUCUUUCCUCCUCCUUCACCCAGCGCUGCUGCUGCUGCUGCUGCCCAGACACCGCUCCGUGGUUCCAAUUAGAGAAAGCAGCCGCCUGCAGCAGCCGGGAGCAGAGUGUGUACAGUACAGGGCGGACUCUCAGCAGUAGCGGCACCGGAGGCGGGCGCCGCAGUCGCCGCUAGGAUGUGUGCUGUUCAGGUGAAGCUGGAGCUAGGGCAUCGAGCCCAGGUUAGGAAGAAACCCACUGUGGAGGGUUUUACCCACGAUUGGAUGGUGUUUGUUCGCGGACCCGAGCACAGUAACAUUCAGCACUUUGUGGAGAAAGUCGUCUUUCACUUGCAUGAAAGCUUUCCUAGGCCAAAAAGAGGU